AUUUGGGGCCUUAGGGUUCUUACCCGUUCGUCCGCUUUGUUGUCGUCAACGCGAUCGUCUUGGUCCAUGGCUCUCUAGAAUCGGAAUGUCCGUUCUUUGUUCGACGUCGCGAAUUUAGAGACUUCUCUUCCCCGAAGAAAUGGAGGUUAUUUGUGGCCUUUCUGAUUUGUUAAGUGCAAUACAAACAUUUCUUGGAUGCCUAAAUUAGAAAAAUUACAAACUAGACGACCUGGAUCCAUAUUCAUGGCGGAGACUCUUGCAAGAUGGAAAGAUUACAACGAUCACCUUGAUACAUGUAAUGAUGAGGCUAAACUCCCCUGUAGAGUUCCAGCCAAGGGAUCCACGAAAGGCUGCAUGAAAGGUAAGGGAGGGCCAGAGAAUUUGAGAUGUAAUUACAGAGGAGUUAGGCAAAUGACAUGGGGGAAGUGGGUUGCCGAAAUUCGAGCACCGAAUAGGGGAAGUUGACUCUGUUUAGGUACAUUCCCAUCUGUCAUUGAUGCCGCUCUUGCUUACGAUGAAGCAGCAAGGGCCAUAUAUGGAACUCUAACUCGCCUCAAUUUUCCCAAUAUCUCAAACACAAAAAGAAUCAUCAACAAAGGAUUCUCCUGAAAUCAAAAGGUCCUCAAUCUGUUCCUUGGGGUCAACUUCAUUUAGUCCGAGUUCAUCACUCUGAGGAUUUUGCGGUUGAGGAUGUCGAGCUAGCUGUAAUAGCUCAAACCAACCGCUAAUGAUAUUGUCCGCUUUGGCCCAUUACGUAUCGCUGUCAGCCUCACGGUUUUAAAAUGCGUCUUCAAGGGAGAGGUUUCUACCCCUUACAAGAAAUGUUUUGUUUCUCUCUCCAACUGACGUGGAUCACACACCAGCUUUGACCU